GUCCACGUAGCUCAGUUGGAUAGAGCAAGGCACUCCUAACGCCUAGGUCGCAGGUUCAACUCCUGUCGUGGACG
rnacentral:tRNA from 1 species